ensembl:lncRNA LINC02848 long intergenic non-protein coding RNA 2848
CUCGUGGGAGGAGCGGGGCGGUGAGAGCCUGGCUAGGCAGGCUGGAAACAGUAGCUCUUAACGGUCCCCCGCCCGUUGGUGGCAAGGCGGCUGGACUGGAAUCCCAGCAGGCGACAUGCGAGGAGGCGGGCAGCCCAGGAGGGUUGGACACGGCAAUGUGGACCUCGCCGCUUCCACAACGAUGCUGGCUACUGAUCGCGUGCACUUCCUUGCCAAAGAAAAGAAAUUAAUGUUAUGACUGGAUGAAGACAAUUGUGAAGAAACUGCACUUUGAGGUUGUCUAUCUCUGUAUUCUGAUGGAAAAGCGUGGAGUUUAGAAGCACUGCUCACUCCUUCAGUUUCUAACAAGUUUGAGACUAUGGUUAGGUGGUGAGGAAGGCAGGCUCAGCACCCAAGCCUUGGGGAGACGCAGAAAGGGCCCAUCCCAGGCACUCAGGUGGAGUAAAACUGAUGCUCCAGAAAGAUGCCCAGGGAGAUUCUGUCCUGCUGCGUCCGCACUGUACAGAACUGACGCUGUGCCUACGCCCGUUUCAGAAGCGUGGAGUACUUAAGAGUUAAUCUAAAAAAGCAAAUAUAAAAAUGGAUUCAAAAAAA